UACGUAGGGUGCAAGCGUUGUCCGGAAUUAUUGGGCGUAAAGAGCUCGUAGGCGGUUUGUCGCGUCUGCCGUGAAAGUCCGGGGCUCAACUCCGGAUCUGCAGUCGAUACGGGCAGGCUAGAGUUCGGUAGGGGAGACUGGAAUUCCUGGUGUAGCGGUGAAAUGCGCAGAUAUCAGGAGGAACACCGGUGGCGAAGGCGGGUCUCUGGGCCGAUACUGACGCUGAGGAGCGAAAGCGUGGGGAGCGAACAGG
rnacentral:rRNA from 1 species